CGGACCGGCGCACGGGUGAGUAACGCGUAUGCAACUUACCUAUCAGGAGGGGAUAACCCGGCGAAAGUCGGACUAAUACCGCAUGAAGCAGGGGCCCCGCAUGGGGAUAUUUGCUAAAGAUUCAUCGCUGAUAGAUAGGCAUGCGUUCCAUUAGGCAGUUGGCGGGGUAACGGCCCACCAAACCGACGAUGGAUAGGGGUUCUGAGAGGAAGGUCCCCCACAUUGGUACUGAGACACGGACCAAACUCCUACGGAAGGCAGCAG
rnacentral:rRNA from 1 species